AAUAAAUAUCUCUUACAUAGCAAUUUUAUUUUUAGAAAUAUAAGUGAAGGAAACAAUGAUGUGACAAAGAUUUGGCAAUAAGAGCCAAGUAUUGAAAUGGUGUCUGACCCAGAGUAAGGACUUAAUAAAUAUUAUUGAUUAAAGAGUGAUGCGUGAAGGGUUGCCAAGGAAGCCAGAGUGGAGGCUGUCGGAGGAUGGGUUUGAGUGAACUUUGGCUGCUCCAUCAAGCAGGCUGAUUACUGAGGAAACAUCAGAAGCUCCACCCGAAUGACUCAUCACCCAGAUCCAACAGAGAUUCUGCUUUUAAAAUUCACUGCAUGGUCUCUACAGACAAGAAGCAAAGGUUCUGCACGGCUACAGCAUUUCAGUUAAAAGACAAGGAAUCUACAUUUUCUUUCAUUUUGCUCUUAGACAGCCAGUAUGUUUUAUAGUCUCCCACAUACUUUUCUUUUCUCAAACACAUUUUCAGGCUUAACAGUAUAUUUUUUAAAAGUCAGAGAAUUUUCAGGUAAUAACAUUUUUGAAUACUACAGACUUUAAAAGAAAUGUUAGUAAUUAAAAAAAAAUCUCACAUACAAAGCCAAUUGCCCUAUCUAUCUGAAAAUUAUACCUACCCAUUUGCCAGUUGCAUUAUUACAGAAUUGCUAAUAUUUCCUACUUUUCAAAAGCAUUAGAAUAAACUUGCUUGGAGGUGAUGUUAUUUACUAAAAAUAGAGGUAUAUAUUUCUUUAUGUUGGUUUAAAAUUGAAGUAUAUUUUAUGUAAAAGGAGAUAUUUAAAGGUUAAUCUUAACAGGGAAGUAUUUUCCUAUAUAAAUAUAUCAUAACUUCACACUAUGUAAUUUUGGAGUUUUUCCUAAUGAUUUAUGGUUUUGAGAACUGUGGGUCUUAGUUAAAAUGUAAUGACUUGAAGAGUUUUUUACCUUUCACUCUGAGGGUACAUGGACCAAAAAAAUCAUGUCUCCUAGUAUUCAUUGUACUGCAUCUACUCUGGUCAAAUGGAAUCAUCUACUUCAAAGGUUAUUGUGAGAGAAAAAUUCAAAAAGGAUAAAUUGCAUGUAAUUGUGGUAAAGAAUAAGCUUUUACUGAUCAGUUAGAAAAUACCAGACACCGUGCUUGUGUAAUCAAUGAUGGGUUAGUAAUAUUAUUUUGUAUAAGAAAGAACAUUAUUAAAAUGUAUUAAAUUGUUCUGUACUGAAGGGCAAAAGAGCAUUGUGUAAUCUCUAAUUCCUGCCAGAGAGACUUUUUCACUGGGUAGAACCAUUUUUAUAGUCCAUUCAUGUAUUCAACCAGCAUUUAUUGAAGCUAUGUUUUUCUUAUGUACCCUACUAGGAACAGAAUUUUGGGGUGGUAAAAAAAUCAAUAAAACACACUGCCUUAAGGAUUUUCAAGCUUGAGGAUGGGAGAGUGUAAAGAAGCAAUCAUGUAAACAAUAAAUGACAAUACAAAGAA